AUUGAACGCUGGCGGCAUGCCUUACACAUGCAAGUCGAACGGCAGCGCGGGGCAACCUGGCGGCGAGUGGCGAACGGGUGAGUAAUAUAUCGGAACGUGCCCUGGAGUGGGGAUAACGUAGCGAAAGUUACGCUAAUACCGCAUACGAUCUGAGGAUGAAAGCAGGGGACCUUCGGGCCUUGUGCUCCUGGAGCGGCCGAUAUCUGAUUAGCUAGUUGGUGGGGUAAAAAGCCUACCAAGGCGACGAUCAGUAGCUGGUCUGAGAGGACGACCAGCCACACUGGAACUGAGACACGGUCCAGACUCCUACGGGAGGCAGCAGUGGGAAUUUUGGACAAUGGGGGGCAACCCUGAUCCAGCAAUGCCGCGUGUGUGAAGAAGGCCUCGGGUUGUAAGCACUUUGUUCUAGGAACGAAACGGUACUGGGCUAAUAUACUGGCGUAAUGACGGUACCUGAAGAAUAAGACACC
rnacentral:rRNA from 1 species